rnacentral:rRNA from 1 species
AACGCUAGCGGCAGGCUUAACACAUGCAAGUCGAGGGGUAUGCUUCUUCGGAAGCAGAGACCGGCGCACGGGUGCGUAACGCGUAUGCAAUCUACCUUUUACAGAGGGAUAGCCCAGAGAAAUUUGGAUUAAUACCUCAUAGUAUAGCUGAAUCGCAUGAUUCUACUAUUAAAGUCACAACGGUAAAAGAUGAGCAUGCGUCCCAUUAGCUAGUUGGUAAGGUAACGGCUUACCAAGGCUACGAUGGGUAGGGGUCCUGAGAGGGAGAUCCCCCACACUGGUACUGAGACACGGACCAGACUCCUACGGGAGGCAGCAGUGAGGAAUAUUGGACAAUGGGCGCAAGCCUGAUCCAGCCAUGCCGCGUGCAGGAUGACGGUCCUAUGGAUUGUAAACUGCUUUUAUACGAGAAGAAACACUGCUUCGUGAAGCAGCUUGACGGUAUCGUAAGAAUAAGGAUCGGC